UCUACGGAACAUAUUCAGGCUCACACGGAGGAGGAAGGUUGCUGAGGAAAGGGCAGGCAGCCUGCAAACUCCAGCUGGCGAACUGUUUGCGGUGCCUGCUCUCUGGCCUUUGGAAGAGUGGAAAGUGGACCACGGUGAACAGUCA